UGCAAGUCGUAUAUAUAUACAUUACCUUGACGGCAAAAAAGUUUGGGGAAAAUUCGCACCAUGUCUAACACAAUACUGCUCCUUUGAUUUUUUGGAGUUCAUUCAUUCUACCAGUGAAAUGUGAAAUCUGACACUAGGUACUUGAUAUCAUACAUGAGGGCUGAGAGAGGUGAUUUUUAUUUUUGCCGUUUUAGCAAACCCGAAUUACCUUCCCGGGGUCGGAAUCGAUAAAGGUGCCCUAACACACGAGAAAGACCAAUGCCUAAAUCGAGGCCUCUGUACGGAAGGCGGUCAACUGUACAUUAUUACGUAAACCAGGCGAGCACUUUGCUGAGAGGUAUUCGGAUAGGACCAAGGUCAGUUGGAAAAGAAGGAAGCCUAGAAUUUCCACAUGUAGGCCGAAAUUCUGCCACCGAAACUGCAGCAAUCUGUUAGGAAACGCUUUUGCUAAUAAAAGAGAAAUAGCAUUCCAGCUGUCUGCAGUCUGAUUGUGUUAUUCCGUCCCAAACAAAGCAAGACAACUGGGCAGUGCCUCUUAACUACCGUUUAUGAAGAGAUUGGACGCACUCCCAGCAAAGACAUCAGAUUCGUGUUCGCCAGCGCCCGCACCCAUGUCAACGUUGUCAUGCGUGCCGAAGUUUGUCGUAUAGUCAACUUGCAGGGUUGACAUUUGAUUAGGCUUAAAUGUAUAGUUUGCUUUGGGUUGUUAUAUUCUGUAUCAAAACGUGUAUCGAAUAAAGUACAGCGUGUAACGAGCGUUUUAUCCAUGAAACUUCUGAUAAAAAUGGACUAAAUCCAAGCGUCAACCCUGCACGUCACUGCUUUAACACUUAAGAUAUGUUACUAGGUAGAAGUACAACGAUAUUUUUGUUACUUGUCCAUGUUUCAUUGUUUUAUACCCGCCAGUUGUCGAACAUAAAUAGCCAAUUCUAUUCAAAAUGAAAUAAUGUUGUUAAAAAGUGCCUUAAGUGAUGUAUGAAAACAAAAAUGAUAAAGUUGUAAAAUUAUUACCAAGCGGUGUCUAGGUAGAGCACUGUGCAAUGCAAGCAGAACCGGUGCCUGCUUGGUUGUCAAAUGAUGCGUGUGGGCAAAUUACACUUCGCUGUGCACUUGAACAAAUUUUUUAUUUAUUUUAGAUUAAAUUCAAAUUAUUAUUUUAAUGAAGUUAACUUUUGAAAAGAAAAACGUUUGUCGCAUCUCCAUUACUUAAAAUGAGUAUAGAAAAAAUUCGAGAUAUAGAAAUGGUGAUCAUUUGAAGAAAACGAGAUGUAAAUCUUAAUUUAAUUGUUACCAUUGCAAUCCACAUAUUAAAAAUCUUCAGAAGUAAAAGCAUUGAUGACCUGCAAAUUUGCUCGUGUUAUUGCAGAAGUGCCCACACGUAUCACAUCAAUCUUUCUGUUUGUAACUGUGACGCAUUCUAAGAGUAAACUUUCUUUGGUUCCCGGUGUUUGGAUCUAUGUGUCUGACAGUAACAGAUAUAUUCAGUGCUGGGAGGGGACCAAACCAUUUAUUUUACGAAAAUCAAACCAGUGGGUAGGGGAAGAUUUUUUAAAAUAGAUAUUUGUUAUUACAGUAAGAAAAUACAUUGUGAACGUGAUAAGUAGCCUAAAGGUUCCUAUUUGGACUGCCAAAAUUUCCUAGCAUUGAGUCUAUUUGUGCCUUGCCCAUAUCACAGAGCAGGAAUGUUUCAUCUUCACUAAGGAAAAACAGUGGGUCAUAGAAAGCGACAGUGUUUUAAUUCGAGCUCAUUUGUCCAUUAAAAAGUAUACCUGGGUCUGGCUUUUUAUCAUCCAUCACUUUUACAUUCUAAAUUUUCGAAAAGUUGCCUAUGAAAUUCAUAUUGUCGAUAUUAUUGAUUACAUUAGCUACAGCAAUGCUCUUUUUUGGGAGUAAUAGGUAUUUCAUAUUGACCAUAUGAGGUUUUGUAGACGUCAACUUUUGUCAAUGCUCUCCGCAUAAAAGAAGAAACAAUUCAACAGAAAUUUUAAAGUUUGUUACUUAAACAUAUCAGUGUUUUAGUUUGAUUGAGGUUGAACCUGGUGCUUUUUUAAAACUUUAUUAUGGUGGGCACCGAGAGGCGGUGGAGAUCACACGUUCUGAUCAGAUGUCAGUCCUGCAGCACGAGCUAGUGGGUUAUUUUUGCUAUGUUCUUCUUGAUCACUAAACACCGGAGACCAGAUUGGAGUUUAUAGGCAUUUGCUUAAUGUUCUAAAUUGUUAGAAGUAAAAUGAUUUUGGUGUUACCUUUUGAAAUUUGUUUGCAUAUUAUUCAUAGAAAUGACUGAGUUGGAUAAGGCUGUAAACUGACCAUGUCCUUAUGUUGCUCUUGAUUCGCACGACGCGCAAAAAUAUUCACUCAAAAUUGUGUUAUCAAGUACCUGUUUUAAGAUUUAAUGUGAAGAAAACAAAUUGACGCAAGACAUGAGCUACAUUUAUUCAUGAGUAACUUGGCCAGUCGCACAAAAUGAAUAAUUUUGGGAAACCUUUGUGUUUUUAUGUGCGAUCAUCACAGCAUUGAGACAUGUCACAAGGUAUCAAGUAAGCGCAUGCUUAUUAUAUCUGGGGUGGCAGUUACAUCAGAAAGGAUGCAUUUUGAUUUUUUAAUAUCGUUAAUACCACCGAAUUUAGAGAAUAUGUCCCUGGGUAAAAUUUACGAUAGUUUCUAAGACGUAAAACUUAGGUCAACUUAGAACAAAUAUGUAAAAUAGAAUGCUUUUAACAUUCCGAUUUGUAAAUUGGUUCUGUGCAAAAUCAUGAAAACUUUUUGUAUAGUGUAGCAUUCCUAAGCCUCUUUUUUUCUAUUAAAACUGUUAAUUUUUUGAGCUGCUUUUUAUCAAUCAAAACUGUUAUAUUUUUGAGCUGCUAUAUUCAUAAUGCAUAGACUUUUCGACAUGUUUUACCUGGGUAUAGUGGAACUUUUUUCUGUUUCAGCUCGCCUUAAAUUUUGGCGAUUUUUGUGAAAGAAAAAAUUAUUUUUAUUAAGAGAAUAUGUAAUCGCGAU